AUUGAACGCUGGCGGCAUGCUUUACACAUGCAAGUCGAACGGCAGCAUGGGGGCAACCCUGAUGGCGAGUGGCGAACGGGUGAGUAAUAUAUCGGAACGUGCCCAGGAGUGGGGGACAACCAGUCGAAAGAUUGGCUAAUACCGCAUACGAUCUACGGAUGAAAGUGGGGACCUUCGGGCCUCACGCUCCUGGAGUGGCCGAUAGCUGAUUAGCUAGUUGGUAGGGGUAAAGGCCUACCAAGGCGAUGAUCAGUAGCUGGUCUGAGAGGACGAUCAGCCACACUGGGACUGAGACACGGCCCAGACUCCUACGGGAGGCAGCAGUGGGGAAUUUUUGGACAAUGGGGGCAACCCUGAUCCAGCAAUGCCGCGUGAGUGAAGAAGG
rnacentral:rRNA from 1 species